GACAGAGGGUGCAAACGUUGUUCGGAAUUACUGGGCGUAAAGCGCGUGUAGGCGGCCAUCUAAGUCGGGCGUGAAAUCCCACGGCUCAACCGUGGAAGUGCACUCGAAACUGGAUGGCUAGAGUCCUGGAGAGGAAGGUGGAAUGCUUGGUGUAGAGGUGAAAUUCGUAGAUAUCAAGCGGAACACCGGUGGCGAAGGUGGCCUUCUGGACAGUGACUGACGCUGAGACGCGAAAGCGUGGGGAGCAAACAGG
rnacentral:rRNA from 1 species